UUCAUUGAGAGCUAUGCUACAUGAUUAUGUCCUUUAUUCGAACACUGUAUUUACCUUUCUGCGAUGAUUUGGGCCAUAAGUAUAUAUAGGCCUAUUUAUGAAGCCAAAAAUAUGCAAUGAUAGGUAAAUUAUUUAAUUAGAAAUAUACGAAUUUAUACAGACUUCGUAAAACUGACUAAAUCUUGUUUUCAAUCUUCAACAUUAAACUGCACUAUUCAAUACUCACCAAUCAUAUUGAUAAACGAAUUUGAAACAGAUUAACACAAUCAUUAUCUCGAAAUUCUGUUUACAAUUUAUAAACAAAUUAAAUAUUUCAUUCUAACGCAUCUGACACAUUUUUAAAAUCAUUAAACGUAUAUUGAAACUUGUUGAUAAGAACAGCCACUUAAAUCAGGUGACGCUGUAAACUUAAGUAUACUUCACGACAUUUAACUAUACUUUGUACCUCUUGAAAAGUUUGUAUCAAUAUUUCGUCCUCUCGACAUUGAUUUGGUUAACAAUUAUCGGCCAAUCAUUCAAAAUAUUAACAGAUAACGGAUAGUACCUGGGUAUCGGAAGCUAUCUAUUACUGAGGCCAUGUUAGGUUAUCAGACUAAUAGCGGCCACCUGUUAAAUGUUGUACAAUAUAUUGUACUUUAAAUGAUUGGUGGGCAUUCUUGAAAUUCUGUUUAUUCAACUCUUUAUUUAACGUAAUACUUCUUAUAGAUAACAUAUGCAUUACAAAUAGUACAACUAUUUACUUGCGAAUAUUGUUAACAGGUCGAAGAAGAAACACGAUUGUCGGUCAGCGAACACAGUCACCUUUGUAGCCUCGUUGGCCAGACUGUCAACUUUGCCAUUGAUCAAUAAUCACUCGCUUAUAAAAUGAUUAAUGGUUAAUGGUUUUCAAUUUAUAGAGCGCAAAAUACAAAAACAGUCUUUAAGUGCUAUAAAAGAAGUGAUGGAACGAAAAACUAAGCCAGAAAAUACUAAAUAAAGUGAAAUUUUAAAUACACAUCAAUACUAGUACCCAAGCCGGGUUAUAUGGGGAUACGCCCUCGUCGCUAACUAAGGUUCGAUCUAAUUCAACUCCGGCGGUCAGCACCAAUUGACGGUCCCGGCCAUCCCAGACUCGACCCGGGCACCUCAUAUCCUAGAGUUAAAACUAUACAAAAACUAGUUGGCAUGGAAAAGAUAAGGAAAAAAUAAAUUAAUGUGGCAUGAAUAAGUGGGUCUUCAGAGUGAUGGUGACUCAAAAAUAGAUUUAUUUCAUUUUCAUUUCAUUUAUUUAUUUUCCAGAUUGUAACAAACAUCACAAACCUAGCACUAUUCUGGCGGAUUGUCAAAAAGCAAACAAAUUCAAUAUGCAAAGACUCACCAAUAGAUAGAAAUAGGUAACAAGUUCUUUGGUGCAGGAAACAAAAGAAUAGAAACAUGUACCAAUCAAUUUUCAUAGAAAUAAAACGCAAUACCAUCUCUCUUCUAUUGAAUAUAUCUGACCAUAACAUGGUUUCGAGAGCCUACCUGUACUUUUAGGAGUUCUCUGAGCGUUCGUCUUUUGUUUUUUCUUUCAUACAUUACAGUGGCGGAUUCAGCAAUUUGAAAUAGAGGGGGCUUAAACAGGGACUUUUACAGAUGGAGGCUCUAUACUAUCUCGGCCCACCAUGGUUGGGGCUAAGGAGAGGAACAAUUGUGUGAGGUACCACACAUCACUGAUGAGGAAGUGCAAGAUACCAUACCACUGAUGAGGAGCAAUGGUGCCAAGAUUCCACACCUUUAUACCACAAAACUGAUGAGGACCAAUCUUGCAAGAUACCACUCCACUGAUGAGGUGCAAUGGUGCAAGAUACCACACCACUGAUGAGGUGCAAUGGUGCAAGAUACCACACUGCUAUACCACAAAAUUGAUGAGGGCCAAUCGUGCAAGGUACCAAACCACUGAUGAGGACCAAUGGUACAUGAUACCACACUACUGAUGAGGACCAAUCGUGUGAGGUACCACACCAUGAUGAGGACCAAUGGUGAAAGAUACCAUACUACUCGUGAGGACCAAUGGUGCAAGAGACCACACCACCGAUAAGGACCAUAGGUGCAUGAUACCACACCACUGAUGAUGAUAAGCAUUCGGUUUCCUCAUAGCCUGAAAGGUGCAGUUUUACGAGUCUUUCAUGCAUUACGCUUACAAAUAGAAGAUGCAGUUUUACGAGUCUCUAAUGCAUUACGCUUACAAAUAGUUACACCAAUUAAAAUACAUGAAAAAGAGAGCAGGUGGGGAACUCUCCAGAACACAAACUAUGUGGCCGAAGGACAAGAUUGCGAAGCAUAAUGAUAGUGUUCAUCUUGAAAAGCCUGGAGGUCAAAGAGCAGAUGAAGAAAUGGCAAAGAAAAGCAUCUACAUUCAAGAAACUUUUUAUUAAAAAAUAUAAUAAAAAUAUUGAAUAAUACAUAGUUGAAUUUUAUUAAUACUCAGGGAUGUAAAUUUAAUGUUUUAUUCUGGUUUAAGCUUAAAUUGGUCUUUGUAUGUAUAAUCUCCAGUUAGUGGAGGUUUUUUUCUCUGUUGGUUGAUGAUUGAAUAAAAUAAAAUAACAAAAAUCAAAUGAACUACAAAUAAUGAAAACUGACUGUGUGGUUUUAAUUAACAUUUAUUCUCUCAUAAAUACAAUUUAAAUGACAAAGAAGAACAGACAAGAAGAUAAACUAUACCCCUUACACAACAUGUAACAAAAAAUCAACAAAAUAGUAAACAAAGAUCAAUAUUGGCCUAGUUAUGUAUCAACUGAACACUACAUACAUUGACAACAGAAGAUAAUUUUAGACCUUUGUAAUUUUUACAUAGACCUUUGUAAUUUUUACAUAGAAUAUAUGGGAUAUUGUCCCAGAAACAAAACCUCAGUUUUUGGUUUAGAUACAGCAGCAAUAUUUGACAUCAAUGUACAUCACUCAGCGACUAGAGAAAUCCAGCACUUUCCAUGGUGUAGAAAAUGAAUCUCAACAAUUAUUAUUAUUGGAAAAUAUGAAUAUUCAGUAGUUCAUUACAAAACGAAUUUACAGUGGAAAUUAAUCAACAAUAAGACAAUCAAAAAACAUGCACAACUGGUCUCAAUCACAUUAUAAAUUCAAAAAAAUUAGGGAUAAAAUUGAGGGCGCUACAUAGUAAAUAUAAAUAUUCAGUAGCAAAUUACGAGACCAAUUUACAGAGGAAAAUAAUCAGCCAAACGACAAUCU